CAACAAAUCCCCUCACCCCCGCCGCCAGUCCUCUUCUUCCUCGGGAUCCACCGCGAGCCAACCACCUCUCCACCUCGCUUUCCCCACCGGACCAAUCCAUCCCAGCCAUCCCAAUCCCCAUGAAGAUCCUUCUCGCCACCACCCGCAGCCUCUCCUCCUUGCUACGCGGGCUGCACGAGCACAGCAGCCGCUCGGGCACCAGACCCCGCUCCCGCCCGGAUCGAGGCCACCGCCGCUCCUCCCGUGCGCCUCCCGUCACCGCGAGCCACUGGCGAGCAGUAGCGCCAGGAACCAUGGAUCCCGAAGCCAUGGCCGCGCCUCCCGUCGACCUCCGCCAUGGUUGGCCGCAGCUCCCUCGCCGCCGUUUGCACCAGGCCAGCCGGGUGACGGACGAACCCGUCCUCCCACGUCCAUCCCCGCGUCCCGCUCGUCCCUGAGCUCCCCUACUUCGCCAAGUCCGUGGCCGCCGCAUUGCCUCGUCGCUGGAGCCCUGCAGGAGCACCAGCCAGCGCCACCAUCAUCGGAGAUGGGCUUCCGCCGGCCGGAUCUGACGCCCUAGAGAUUCGCGCCGCCGGCGGACCUCCUUCCUCCGCCCCAAGUCCCUCGACCCACCGUUCGGAGCCCACCUCCUUAAUGUCCCCGGCGCCAUCGUGCAUCUGCUUCCUCUGCUUCAAGGACGACCGCAGCGCCAAGUCCCGCUCGAUCCAGCCGCUCCGUUGACCGUGCCUCUGCCUCCAGAUCACCCGGCCCAGCGCGCCUCCCCAGCCCAUUGCGCAGCCGGCCCAGCAACCGACCCAAGCCGCCCUGUCGGCCUCCCUCCUCCACCGAAUGGGCCGAGGCCCAUGGCGAGGCCAGCUUUGCGCCCUCCUUUUUUUCCACUGUUGGGCCAGCCUCUGAUUCGGCCCAUAUAUGUUUUUUACAGAUCUGCGAUUUUCCUAAUUAUCCAGGGAAUUGUAGUUUUACAGUUUAGCUCCUAAACUUCAUGCAUAUCCUAACUAAUUAACCGUGCAUCGGAAUAAAACAAACUUUAUAUGAAAAAUGCUUAGAAUUUUG